GAGAAGCUUUGGAUCAUUUUCUUUUGUACUUCAUAUAAUAUACACAGUUUCAAAUUUGAAAACUAGCUUACUCCAUCCUCCAUUCCUAAUCUGUAGCUAAGACGAUCACUUUUGUAAUCGGCAAAUUAUCGCACCCAGCUCUGUUCAAGCCAUGAACCAGGAAGAUGAUGAUUGUUCAUGGCGCCUUUUCACUUCCGAGGACAUGAUAGAUGGUUAUAAAGCUUUGAAAAGGCGGAAAAAAUGCACGAAGAUGAAUAAGGAUGUUCGAUCAUCCUCGAACAAGGACACGUCAGAGGCUUCACCAGCUACUCCCUGCCAUACAUGUUAAAAAAACUCUCUUGCUUUUGUAUUUCCAGCAUUGAAUGUAUAUUGUUUGAUAUAAGUUGCCUGGCCAUGUUGAACAACUAUGCCAUUUAUAUAAGAGAUUUGUGUUUUUAUAAGAUGUUAGCUGUAAACUAUUGAUGCAUAUAUUGUUUCAUUAUGCAUAACCUUUUAUACCUGUAAUUUUUCUGAGCAGAGUGUCUCAUUUCAGCCCAAAUUCUAAUUUCAU